UACGGGGGGGGCAAGCGUUGUUCGGAAUUACUGGGCGUAAAGGGCUCGUAGGUGGCCAACUAAGUCAGACGUGAAAUCCCUCGGCUUAACUGGGGAACUGCGUCUGAUACUGGAUGGCUUGAGUUUGGGAGAGGGAUGCGGAAUUCCAGGUGUAGCGGUGAAAUGCGUAGAUAUCUGGAGGAACACCGGUGGCGAAGGCGGCAUCCUGGACCAACACUGACGCUGAGGAGCGAAAGCCAGGGGAGCAAACGGG
rnacentral:rRNA from 1 species